UACGUAGGGCGCAAGCGUUGUCCGGAAUUAUUGGGCGUAAAGAGCUCGUAGGCGGUUUGUCGCGUCUGCUGUGAAAACCUCAGGCUCAACCUGGGGCUUGCAGUGGGUACGGGCAGACUAGAGUGCGGUAGGGGUGACUGGAAUUCCUGGUGUAGCGGUGGAAUGCGCAGAUAUCAGGAGGAACACCGAUGGCGAAGGCAGGUCACUGGGCCGCAACUGACGCUGGAGGGAGCGGAAAGCAUGGGGAGCGAAACAGG
rnacentral:rRNA from 1 species